AUGAUCAGUGAAAUCAGGAAAGGCCAAGAGGCCCAGCUAAUCCACAAAUUGGAUCAUCCACCCCUGAAUAAUCAAGAGUUGCUGGCACAAAAGUUGGUUUCUCUCUUUGAUCAUCAGCACACUCAAAACACACCUACAUUUGCUUCUUGUGGGAGCCCUCUGAAGAAAAGUGGACUUGAAUCUAUAGCAUCUGGAUCCUUCCCCCCAUCUGGAUCCUCCUUCAGUUGGUCCUUCCCCCCAUCUGGAUCCUCCUUCAGUUGGUCAAAUAUGACGUUAUUUUGUACAGGAGAAAUUUCUGGGGAAUCUUUCAUAAAUGAAUUUAGUCUUAUUCUACCUUAUGGUAGCUGUUUGAACUUGGUAUGUUUCCAUAGGGUCAGGAAAUUUACACAACUUAUCCCUUCCCAUGCUGUAUGUAUUUGUGUGUACUGGGAAAUAUGUAUGUUCUGGAUGAGAAUAUGGCUUGAGCCUCAGUCAUGUAGAGGGGCACACGAGUCUCCAUUCUAACAUGUACAUCAGAGCCAAAAACUAAUGAGUAGUAUUGUCAGGAAAAACAAGAGCCCAAAUAAUUGGCCAAGAUCUCACUUGCACUUCCAUUGCCAAGGAUAAUCAUUUUUGCAUUUAAACUAAUCUCUUCCACCUUGACGAGAGUCAUUAGCAUCUGACAGUGAGUGAUAAUGUGCUUAAAUUUCACACCUCUUGGCCUUGUCUGCAUUGUCAACAUUUCCCACAUGCAUACCUCCACACUAGGCAUACAGGUUGACUUAAACAAAUGUUUAUCUUUUGUGGCAAAAUUGUAAACCUCGGUGUUUUGCAAGUUCUCAAAUUGUUUCUCUUGCCUUUAAACACCUUUAAGCCAGUUUUGCUGCAGGUUACACCUGAGGUAUUAUUUUCCUCACAAUGCCAGGGUUCUCUUCUCCCUCUGAUUAGAUUGACCUGCCAAGUCAAGGAAAGAAAAACUCUAUGAAAAGCAGCAUAUUUUUUUUUCACUUCUAAACAACUGAGUGUGCACUCACACACACAUGUAAACACAGGGUACAACAGACAAAUCUAUCAGCCUUCACCUCAGCAAGGCAGUGUUUGUUCCAACUAUAAAAGGGUUCUUGUGCUCCUGAAAAUAGGGUGAGGAAGGAAGGGGUCAAAGGAAAGAAGAAAGGGGGGGUGGGGGAGGAGGGAGUCAUUCAUUGUUUAAUAAACAAUGGCUUCAUAAAAACUGCUCUUACCCAGAGUUUUUUGUUGUUGUUAUUGUUUGUUGUUUUUUAAAAGAUUUUAUUUAUUUAUUCAUGAGAGACAC
rnacentral:lncRNA from 1 species